GUAGUGGGUGGGAGCUUCCGGUUUUAGCCUCGGAGCUUAAAUUUAAUGAGUUUUCUGUUUAUUAAUUUCCCCAUGACUAAGGAUUCAAAAGAAUAUUAUUUUAUUUGUGCUGUGAUCCUUUAGGAACAUCUGAUGGUAUAAAUGCAGUGGCAUUUGUCACCUGCUCAGGUGUAAGAACGUGAUGGGAACACAUGGAAAUUCAUACAAAAUCUGUUAAAGGAUAAUGUGAUUGAUUUUUGCAAUAUCCUGAUUGUGGCAUUCUGGUUUGCAAUAUUCUGUGUGCACUGACUUCUCUCUAUAGUGAGGUAUUCCCCGUCAGCCAUGCUGCCCUUCCCCAGGAAAGGAGGAAGACAAAUGCCGCUGUCUGAGAAAGGAAAGUGAAAAGUGCUGUAGGAGGAGAGGGGAGACAGGAAAGUGUAAGAAAAUAUCUGCAAUCAAGCAGGUCGUGAUCUGUCAUUGGCCUCUGUCACUUAAUAAUCUCUUGCUCCAAAAUGAGUUAAAUCUCUUAUGGAAAGACUGGACUGCCUUGAUGCGUUAUGAAUGAACGCUCCCGCCCUCUGGAAGUGAUGAGUUUGGUCCAUGUGCUUUGAGCUGUCACCCACUCUAAAUGAUUACGGAUCUGUUAUAUAGCAGAAAUCUGUUAUUACCCAAGAUCCACAAGGACAUUCUGAAAUGAGAGUUUAAAAGGAAACAUGUUUAUGGUAGACAAUUUGGAAAAUAGAGGAAAGGACUGAGAAGAAACAAAAAAUAUUCCAUUUAAACCACCAGCCAGAGGGGCUGCGGGAGGGCUGGGCCCCACCUAUGAAGUCAUCCUCUGGGCCAGAGCGAAUGGCUCGGGAAUGGACCCAUAACCUAACUCAGGCCACUGAGAGAAGAACUGAAGUUACAAUGCUCCGGUCCUGAAGAUGCCAGAAACUGGAUUAAUCAAGUCAAAGGACCGAGCUGGUAUUUGCCCUGGUCUUCCCGUCUCGCUUCCUCCUUCUAACAGAUAUGUAGGGGGUGUCCACUGGCUAUGAGGCCCCAUGCAAGGCACUGACAAUAUUGGGGAAGAAGUCUUGAAAACUCAGAUGCCAUCACCAGCUCUUCUUCCCAACCUCCCAUUUGCUGUUGAACUGCCGCACUCUGACAUCAUCCUGACCAGUCACUGACAGGACCCCCUGAAAACCAAAUCCAGACAGUGCUUGUAAAAGAUUUUAAAACAAUCCUCUUCAACCGAACAAACAUGGAAGUUGACUUGAAGAAGAAUAUUAGAUCCAACCUGACGUUUUUUGUAAGCAGCUCAUUAAAACACCUCACGUCCACAACUGUGUUCGAUGCUCUGAUCUCCUGACUCCCUCUGCUUUCACUCAGAACAGACAGGUGUGCGAGCACCUUGCCACCAGCGUCCUUGUUUCACAUCUCCCUAGAAGCUCUUUAGCAUUUGAGUUAUAAUUAUUUGUAUGCACAUUUCAGCUUCUUGUCCAGACUGUAAGCUCCUUGAUGACAGAGUCUGCUUCUUCCUUCUUGCAUCCGCCACAGAGUCCAGCAUAGUUCCUUACACAAACAGGUGCUCGGCAUUUACGACAUGCGUAAAUGAUCUGCUACCAAUCCAGGAAACAAACUGCGGAAAUUUACAUCCCCUCUCACUGACAAACUUUGACUUGGAGAAGGUUUCUCUGAAAUCCUUGGGAAAAGUUAAUCAGAAUCUCAGUCUACCAUGUUGCUUCCUUUAUAUAAUCCGGUGCGACUGUUCUUCCGGGUCGAUGAAAGCGCUGGGACAUUUGCCAGAAUGUAUUACUUUAAAAUUUAAAGUUUCAGCACUUUAGAAAUUGUUUUCCCUUUUAAAUACUUUCCCAAUAA
rnacentral:lncRNA from 1 species